ensembl:lncRNA
GGCAGGUGAGAGUUCUGUGGAGGACUUCACAUUGAAAUGCAUGGUUUAUUUGUGAAGUGUCCUGAGACAGGUGAGGGAGCGAGUGGACAGGGAGGACAUCAAACUCACACAAAUACAUUUUUCAUUAGCCAAGACAAAACAGUGGGAAAAAAUGAGUACAUUACAAUUUUUUAAAUGUCAUAUUGUCAAUGAAACAACCUAAUUUCUGUAGUUUAU